rnacentral:piRNA from 1 species
UGUACCUACCAAGAAACAUAAUGAUGAAGAC